GGCCGGGCCGGGCGCGGAGCGGGGCCUGGGGCACGCCGAGGGCAGUGGCGGCGGAUGGUGACGGCCCCCAGCGUUGUCGCUAAUCACCGCCGCCAUGAAUCACAAGAGCAAGAAGCGGAUCCGUGAGGCGAAGCGCAGCGCCCGGCCCGAGCUGAAGGACUCGUUGGACUGGACCCGUCACAACUACUGCGAGACCUUCUCCCUCAGCCCCGCCGCCUGCAAGGAUAAUGUGGAGAGGGCAGACGCGCUGCAGUUAACAGUGGAGGAAUUUGUCGAGCGUUAUGAAAAACCUUACAAGCCUGUAGUCUUGCUGAAUGCUCAGGUGGGCUGGUCUGCCCAAGAGAAGUGGACAUUGGAACGACUGAAACGCAAGUAUAGGAACCAGAAGUUCAAAUGUGGAGAGGACAAUGACGGUUAUUCUGUGAAGAUGAAGAUGAAAUACUACAUAGAGUAUAUGGAAACCACACGCGAUGACAGCCCGCUCUACAUCUUUGACAGCAGUUAUGGAGAGCAUCCCAAGCGCAGGAAACUCCUGGAGGACUACAAAGUACCCAAAUUCUUCACUGAUGAUCUGUUUCAGUAUGCAGGGGAGAAACGAAGGCCACCCUACAGAUGGUUUGUGAUGGGCCCACCUCGUUCUGGAACAGGAAUUCACAUCGAUCCCUUGGGAACUAGUGCAUGGAAUGCCUUAGUCCAGGGACAUAAGCGCUGGUGCCUGUUCCCCACCAGCACACCCAGAGAGCUGAUCAAAGUGACGCGAGAAGAGGGAGGGAACCAGCAGGAUGAGGCUAUCACUUGGUUCAAUGUCAUCUAUCCUAGAACACAGCUCCCCACCUGGCCCCCUGAAUUCAAACCCCUGGAAAUCUUACAGAAACCAGGCGAGACAGUCUUUGUGCCAGGUGGCUGGUGGCAUGUGGUUCUCAAUCUUGACACAACUAUUGCCAUCACGCAAAACUUUGCCAGCUGUACCAACUUCCCCGUGGUGUGGCACAAGACAGUAAGAGGGAGACCCAAAUUGUCAAGGAAAUGGUACAGGAUCCUAAAGCAGGAACACCCUGACUUGGCAGCUUUGGCUGAUUCAGUUGACCUGCAGGAAUCUACUGGUAUUGCUUCCGAUAGUUCUAGCGAUUCUUCCAGUUCCUCAAGUUCCAGCUCCUCAGACUCUGAUUCAGAGUGUGACUCUGGCUCUGAGACGGAGGGGAUGAUGCACCGGAGGAAAAAGAGGAGAACAUGCAGUAUGAUGGGUAACGGUGAUACAACUUCCCAGGACGACUGUGUGAGCAAAGAACGCAGCUCCUCCAGGAUUAGGGAAUCUUGUGGAGGCCGCAGCUACCCCUGAGAGAUUACAACACCCACCUAGAGGCAGCUGCCGAUCGAAGCUCCGUUAGCAGCCAGCUAGCUCUGUUCUACCCCCUUCUGCUUCUACUCCUCACAGUCCUUAAGUUUUUUGUCACUCUCCCUCGAUCCAGACAUCCAUCUUCAUUAUGUGCUGUCGAAGGUUGGCUCCUUAAUAACUUCUAGGGGAAUGCCCUGACUCUACAUUAUUGUGCAAUGCUUCGUCCCCUCUGCGCCCCGAGUGAGUGCACUAAUCACCCAGCUUUGGGUAAGGACAUGCCAAGUAUUUAAUGGUUCACGUAACUGGCAAGGAAGACGACGGUCAGUUUUUAAAGAACUCUUUUUAAAACCAGCAGGUAAAUCUAAAAACCUGCCUUGCUUUGACACUGUCAUAUGUUUACAUGUUGUCCUGUACACUUGAGGAAAGGAACACCAGCCCUUUUGGCCUAUCUGAACGUCCGGCGGAUCUCGCAUCAGAAUUUCAGGAAGGGAAGGUGGUGUGAAUGCUCCAAACACUGAAGCAAAUUCAGCAGAGGUGACCACCGACCUGAAGCAUCUUUUGUGGUCUUAAUCUACACGUGUACAUCUAAGGUGCAACACCUUAACCAGCAACAGUCCCAUUUACUUUUGCUCUGUGUCUGUUACGAUGACUGGUAACAAAGAUGCACUAGCACCUUGCAAUAGGAAGCUCGAUGGAGCAGGAGAAUCCUGGAUUUUCUUGCACAGCAAAAACUGUGGGGGAAAAAGUCAGCGUUUGCCAGUAAUUACAAUCCUUUAGGUGCAGGUGUGAUGUUUAGCGCUAGGCAACAACUGACAAAGUCUGACUCUCAUACGAUAACAAUAGUUGCUGGGCUUUGAAUACCAAGCAGUUAGAGGCCGUAGGCUCGUUCAGGCCAGUGCAGUUCACAUACCUAAAUGGCUUUUCUUUGAGGUUAUGGGCUCAGAAGCUUCCAGAACUUGCAGUGCCAAUUUUAAAGGACUGGGAGGGGGACAUAUUGGUGUUUUAUGCUUUUUUUUUUUUUUUUUAAAUGCAAUGUGUUGCUUAAGUCUGUGUAGAUGCAUUUGUAUUACGCCAGGUAAAGCUCUUAUCCCCAAGGGAUCUGUUGGAGCUGCUGGGUAUUUUUUAACAGGGGCUUGUGCUGGUAGCAGAGAGGUCUGGCUGGCUGAAGGUGUGCUGCAAGGAAAUGUCCUUCUCUACCUGAACAGCACAGCCAGAAGCUAGCUGGGUUGGGGUGCUUCCUCGGGUGCUCUCCUCAGACCUAGGAGGUGGGGAUUAGGUCUCACUUCAGCCGUUCUUUUUUGGGAGAGGAAACUCCAAAGCGGAAGUGGUGUGCGUGUAAUAAACAUGCAAUAAUGCCCAGGCACUGGUAGCAGAAUUAAAAAGCAGAUUGGCAGCCUUAACUGUGACUUUCUUACACGCAUUGGGUUUGAUGGAACCCAGAACGUUACUUGUCUGGGUUUUCUGAUCUUUUUUUAACCUUGUCUCUUCCUAUUUAAAUGUUCUCUCCCUUCUUGGAGACCGGGCCAUAUCCUGUUGUUCAAGGGAAUCCUAAAUCCGUUUGUCAGGAUCUCUGUUACCAAAUCUUCCGUGCCAGUCACUUUGUAUAGGAGCAGUGUGGUGGUGAAAAAAAUGGAGAGGGGAAGGUUUUUUUGGUACACUCCUUAGCUGUUCAGACUCCUGAAUUUCCUGUGAUAGCCAGGCGUACGUGAGCACGCUUGCUCUUUAGACUGCUGCAGAUUCUUCCACAAUAUGACUUCGUUUUAAGAAAACCUCAAACUCCUGGCAUUUCUGGCCAAGGUUGCCUUUUUUCCUGCCCGGCUGAACAGCCUGGGAGCCUGCACAAUCUGUACGUUUUCUCUGACAGAGCAGGCUGCAGCUGCUGCCUUUUAGAAGAAUGUGGGGGCCUGGAGAGGCGAAGCCUCAGCUCUGUCACCGUGAGAGGUGCCCUCAGAGGACUGUCUGCUGCCCUCUUUGGUGGCUUGACGGUUAGUACGUACAGGAAGAUGGCUUAUGCUGUAGCUUGCAAUUGCAUUUGGCAUGCACGGUUCACUUUUGCAGUCUUAAAAAUCUUACAUGUGCAUGAAAACCUGAUCGCUGUGUCAGGAAGGCUACACCUUUACCACCAGAAGCACAAUGGGAAAGAUCCAGAGUGUUCUUCCGUGCCUAUGAACUCUUCCAUGGUGUGAAAUAAAACAAGAUUGAAGCCUGUGUUCGUUUGACAUCCCUGGCAAAGCAGCGUGUUUGAAAUGGACUGCAGGCAUCGCAAUACCAGCAACGCUAUACUGACUUCUCCAUGAGGCACUUUCCAAUAUGAAACAAAGGUGCAUCUGUUUAGGCUCCCUGGGAAUCUGGACUCCUGGGAUCUCUGGUUCUUCCGCUUACAGGCUCUUGCCUCAGCCAAAUCGGUACCUCCAUCAGUGCCACUGUGGUCUUGAAAUCUGGACUUGAUUUGGUUUUAUUCCUCUGAUUUAUCUACCUGUCUUCCUUUUUUGUGACAAUUGCAUCCUAAUCAGCAAGGAGGAUGACAUACUGAGUUUUUAAUUGCUGCCGGGGAGCCAACAGGACAGGGUUACCUGAGUGGGAACGCAGAGGUUGGACUGUCUGUGCUGCACCCUUGCUGAUGUUCUUGCUCCUCUCUUCCAGUCUGAUGUAAAAGCAAAUAACUACAGGUAUUUCUUUUGGGGCAGUUAGAAAGCAGGUAACAAAGGGGCCGGGUUGCAUUCCUACUUGCCUGUUAGCCACAGCACUAAGUAGCUCCAUGUUUUAUGACGGGUUUGGGAUUAAAUUAGUAUGCUUGCAGAAUCUCAUCUUUUUUUUUUUUAAGGCGUGUAAAGACUCCUCUGUGGGACCGCACCUCCUGUGUUUCAGGAGAAGUGUAAAUUGAGGCAAUGUGUUCCAAGGGAAAUAAUUGUUCCGUGUCCCAUCUGGUCUGGGAGCUGACGACUCCCACCUGUGUGUGAUGCCUGUAACUGCUGUGUGUCCUUUCCUUCAACAGAAGGACCUGAAACUGGGGGGCUGCCACUGCAGCGAGCGUCUGCAGCCAGCCAGAGGAGGAGGAGGAGGACAGCAGAAGGAGCAGCAGUUGGUGCAGCCGUGUCCCAGCUGUGCAGGCAGGGAAGGUGUACCAGGGCUGGAGGAGAAUUUCAGAAUUGCUUUUGUGCUGCAACGCUGCCUUGUUUAGACUCACGGCUGUGUCUUGUCUGAGCUGUUCUGCUGCAGUCAGGACUGGACUGGCUGCUGGUAUCUGUGAGCUUUUCAUUCACUGUUAGGACUAUCAGCUUGUAUCAGCUUGCUGUCACGGGCAAGGCCAAUUGUACAGCUGCUUCAAAACUUUGAAGACCAACAACAACAACGCGGAGCCUGCCCUAGCUAAUGAGUUUUAGCAUGAUGGAAGAAGAGCUGUACUGGGUGAGACCGGAGGCCUAGCAGGCAAGGGGUUAGUAACGGGAGCUUAGGGAGAAGGUACCGGAACAAGCACUCACAGAAGAGCUCUUUGGUAGGAUGAUCCUGUUCAGAGGGAGCGAGGUACGGCCAUCCCCACCGUCUGCUGGCUCAGACCUCUUGGUGAGCUGAACUCCUCUGGUGGUGGUCACUCUCCUGCCACUAACCACCUCUGAGCAUCACUGCAGCAUGAAAGCUGGUACAUAGCCGGGUGGGGAGAAGCAAAUGAAGAACAGCCAGGUGAGGUCAGUGACCUUCGAGCCUGUGUCAGCUGAAGAACAGAGUAAGUACAGUGACAUUUCCUGAGAGAGCUUCUUAAUUCUGGCCUCAAAGCGGAGAGGACAUCGCUGCUCUUGGCAAGGAAAAAGUGGUAUCGGUGACCGGGAGCAUGACUGGGGCUUGCAGAAAUGAGCUGAGUUUGGACCAGGUGUAGGGUCAAUCUGUGCCCAAGCUUUAUUUGGGGGGAAAUGGGGUCUUGGAGGACUUGGGAACACAGAAUUGUCUGUCCAACAGGCGCUGUCUGAAGUCGCUGAGGUCUACACAAGCCAGCAGCUGCUGCUGCUUCCCCCACUAGAAACCAGCAGGUAUCUGCUCGCCUCAGUUAUCUGCUCGCCUCGCUUCAUAGAGUCGUGUAGACCCGUGCUUGAGUUACAGCUGUGGAGGAGAGGGGUGUUGGAACUUGGCUUCAGCCCUUAGGGUGGGAGAGGUGCAUCUGUGUAAGCAGAGGACCUCAGUACAGCCGCUGCCUGCACGGUUCACGUGCUGGGAGAGACAGUAAGAGCGUGCAACCUGUUAAAUGGGGUCUUUUUUGUGCCUACAGAGGUGGGUGGUUUUCAGCACGUUAUACCCGGGAGGCUGGGAGCUGUGCCGGGCUGUGACCACAGCGGCCUGGGCAGCAGGGACCCAGCUAAAUCCCUCUCGCAGGCAGAUUUGCAGCGCAGUGUUUUCUGUGGCGUGGGAUGCUCCCCGCAGCAGUUGUCACCGCAGCUCCCCUGAAUCCCCCCUUUGUUGGUAAAAGCUCUUCAGCUGUUACCGAGCCCUUGGCUCCCCCCGCUGAGCCCUGUAAAAGCAGCUUUUGUGCGGGGCCAGCUCUCAGCGAGCUGUUUCUCAUCAGCCCGGUUCCCGCCGCAGCCGGUGCAGAGCUGUUCUCCUCCCAAGAGAGGGCAGCCGCCUCAUUCGGCUUCCCUGCUCCGCGCUGCCCACGGCAAGGCUGGCACCCCCGGGGGGCGGCCUGGCCCCGGGCUGGGACGGGGGGGCCAUACCCAAGGAGGUUCCCCCCCCCCCCGGACCUCCCCUUUGCCAGCAGGCUCUGUGCAGGGGCUGUGCCGGCCCCUCCGCAGCCCGACUCUUCCCAGAGCUGGCGGGCAGGAGCGGGGCAGAGAUCCCUGGCCGGGAGCCUGCCUGGCUGGGAAUCCAUCCCCUCCUGUCCUGUGGCGGGAGCUGGAGACAUUAAUCUUGGGUUGUAAAUUGGUGGGGGAGCCCUACAGAUACCCUCUGUGCCUCCGGGUGGGAGCCUUGCUGCAUCACGAC